GGUUGCUUGGCGCAGUCGGUAGCGCGCCUGUCUAACACACAGAAGGUCGCAAGUUCGAAUCUUGCAGCAAUCA
rnacentral:tRNA from 1 species